rnacentral:rRNA from 1 species
AGCAGCCGCGGUAAUUCCAGCUCCAAUAGCGUAUAUUAAAGUUGUUGCAGUUAAAAAGCUCGUAGUUGAAUUUCGGGGUUAGUAGAUUGGUCAUGCCUCUGGUAUGCACUGGUCUUACUGAUUCCUCCUUCCUGAUGAACCGUAAUGCCAUUAAUUUGGUGUUGCGGGGAAACUGGACUGUUACUUUGAAAAAUUAGAGUGUUUAAAGCAGGCUAACGCUUGAAUACAUUAGCAUGGAAUAAUGAAAUAGGACGUUCGAUCUUAUUUUGUUGGUUUCUAGGAUUGACGUAAUGAUUAAUAGGGAUAGUUGGGGGCAUUAGUAUUCAAUUGUCAGAGGUGAAAUUCUUGGAUUUAUUGAAGACUAACUACUGCGAAAGCAUUUGCCAAGGAUGUUUUCAUUAAUACAAGAACGAAAGUUAGGGGAUCGAAGACGAUCAGAUACCGUCGUAGUCUUAACCAUAAACUAUAGCCGACUAGGGAUCGGAUGAUGUUAAUUUUUAAUGACUCAUUCGGCGCC